rnacentral:rRNA from 1 species
GACGAACGCUGGCGGCGUGCUUAACACAUGCAAGUCGAACGGAAAGGCCCCUUUGGGGGUCCUCGAGUGGCGAACGGGUGAGUAACACGUUAGUAACCUGCCCUUGACUUCGGGAUAACUUCAGGAAACUGGGGCUAAUACCGGAUAGGAAUCCUUGCUGCAUGGUGGGGGUUGGAAAGAUUCGGCGGUUUUGGAUGGACUUGCGGCUUAUCAGCUUGUUGGUGGGGUAGAGGCUUACCAAGGCUUUGACGGGUAGCCGGCCUGAGAGGGCGACCGGCCACAUUGGGACUGAGAUGCGGCCCAGACUCCUACGGGAGGCAGCAGUGGGGAAUAUUGCACAAUGGGCGGAAGCCGGAUGCAGCAACGCCGCGUGCGGGAUGACGGCCUUCGAGUUGGAAACCGCUUUCAGCAGGGGCGAAGCUUGUGGUGACGGUACCUGCAGAAGAAGCACCGGCUAACUACGUG